CUCCCUUUUCCCGCCCUUUUUAUUCCCCACCUCCUCUCCCAGACUCCAGAAGCUUCCUCCGACUCCUUGCUCCUUGCCACGCACCGCCACCGCCGCCGCCGGCGAAGAGGAGAAGGGCGAGGGGAGAGGAUGGGGACCCGACAUAUACCGCUGCCUUGCCUGUACGAGCUCCUCCUCGGCAAAGAGCGCGACCGUUGGUCGCCGGAGGCCAGGUUCAUCGAAGCCGCCCACAACGGCGACGUCGGCAAGAUCAAGAAGAUUGCAAAGGAGCUGGACGUGCAGGGGCGUGGGAUCCCGGUGACGGUGGCCAACACCACCUACAUGGGCAUGAACGCCCUCCACGCCGCCGCCGGCUGCGGCAGCUUCUCGGUCUUCCAGUAUCUCGUGGAGGAGGUCAAGAUGGAUGUCGACUUGCCUGACACCGCUCAGCAGUUUACACCCGUGGCGCAUGCCGUCACCAAUGGCAACCUUCCCGCCGUCAAGUACCUCAUUGAUCAUGGCGCUGAUGUGCAUCAGCAACGUGCAAAGGGAAACAUCACUCUUCUUCAUGCAGCUGCAGUUCAUGGGUACUCUGAAAUAGUAAAGUUUCUUCUUGCAAGGGGAGCUGAUGUCAAUGCAGUAUCAGAUCUUGGGACAGCCCUCACGCAUGCUGCUAUUAGAGGAUUUCCUAGUAUUGUCAAGACCCUUUUGGAGCACAAUGCAGAUCCCAACAAGGCUAGUUGUCAGUUUGGACUUUUAAGCAUGGCAUUACAAAAAUCUUCUGUAUCCUGUGUGAAGUUAUUGAUUCAGGGUGGAGCUAAAGUCAGUGGUGAUAGUCCUCGGGAUAAUCUUUUGGUAAAGGCUGCAGAGAAGGGAUUAACUGAAGCUAUCAAGUGCUUGUUGGAAGCUGGUGCAAACCCAAAUGUUCCUAACACAUUUGGUAGACUGCCAAUAGAGUUGGCUGCUGAGUAUGGUACACGGGAAGAUGUUGAGAUUCUCUUUCCGUUCACCUCACCCAUUUCAACUGUGGCAAAUUGGAGCGUUGAUGGAAUCAUUAGUCAUGUGAAGAUGGAAAUCAAGCAACUAGAGGAUGACAAUUUUGUGAAAGAGAGGGUGUCUGACCUGAAACGACAAGCAGAUGAAGCAUUCAAAAAGCAGGAUUAUCUAAAUGCAUCAGUGCUCUACACACAGGCACUGAAGAUGGAUAACUUUGACGCUAAGUUGUUAUCAAACAGAAGCCUUUGCUGGCUUCGCAUGGGUGAUGGACAAAGGGCUUUUGAUGAUGCAACUAAAUGCAAAAGGCUGCGUCCAAAGUGGGCAAAGGCGCACUAUCGACAAGGAUCAGCUCUAAUGUUCAUGAAGGUGCACUAGAUCAGAAGUAUGCUGCUGCGUAUUCCGCACUCUCGCGCGCUUUAGAGUUGGACCCAGAAAGCGAAGAGACCGAGAAAUUAUUCUGGGAGGCAAUGGAACUGAAGUGAUCUUGCCCUGCAUGCCGACUGCAGAGAGAUCUGAAGCUCACGCAGAAUCUCAAGCUCUGUUUUUUGUGUUCUUAGACUAAACAAAAAAAAACCACCAAACUUUGAAUUCUGUCACCUUAUGCUUUUAAUGUACUAAUUCAGUCACGGGCUGUAGCAGCAGCUUGGAGCAAACCAUGUUACUGGCUACUUAUUUUAAGUUGGUUUUGUGAAACUCAAAUCCUGUUUUGUUUGUAUGGCAACAAUGGAUGGUGAAUUUAAUUGGUUAUGCUA